GGAACUCUGGAGAGUCUCUGAAAACAGGAGCGCCGAAGGUGUAAGGACGUUACGUCCGAUCUCUCAGGCAAAAGGACAGGGCA
rnacentral:ncRNA from 1 species